CAAUCAGGGCCCGGCUCAGCCCUAUCAAAAGGCUGCUCAGGAAGGGAGCAGACAGACUGUCCCAGGCCUUCCAGAGGGGAAGGUCAGUCUCCAAAGGUGGGAGACUAGCACCAGGGACAGCGCAGUGCUGGGCAGACCAGGGGAGCAGAAGGGAACUCCAGCCCGGUGUCUGACAGGCUGCAGGUCCUGAGGGGAAGGGCCUAGCUGGUGUGAGGGGCCGAAGGGGAAGCGGCCCAGGGAUGUGGACAGAUGGAGGGAGAGGAGGAGGGCAGGACGGCUGCCACUAGAGGGUCCCUGGAUUGGGACCCAGAGUAGUGGGCGGGCCUGGGUCCAUCCCUUCCCGCCUUGCAGUACACCCCGCCAUCGGCUGUGGGGAGCGGCCAGAACAGACCACGCCAGAUCCCUGAGAGGGAUUAGACUUUGGGGGGUGUGGUUGUACAUGGUGGCUGGGGUGCAGAGAGACUGCUGAUCAACCCCCUCCCCUCCCGAAAGGGGGUGUGGAUGGACUAAGGGGCACUGCCAGAGGGCAGUGGUCUGGAAGAGGACGCCGCAAACUGAAGAGCGACGUGGGCUCAGACGCCAACCGAGGGCAAGACAACGGACGGGACGCCACCAGGAGAGGGUGUUCCACUGGACUGAGCUAAUUCCUGGAGCAACCAGCCGGAGGCGCUGUGAAGAAGAAAGCUUGGCAGUACAAGACACAAAUUACUGGGGGAAAGUUGGAGAGUGGCGUUUGCUGGUGUUGCCCUGCAGUGUAAUUCAUGGCAACAUGAUUUUGCAAGGAACAGCAACUACAACUACAGAAGCAUCCUAAUCCACAUAGCAGCACGAGCAUCUGGCGCAACUGUGAGCACUGCUCCAUCAGUAUACAAAAUGAGAAUCCUUCCCCGCAAUGUCUUUUGAACAUCUAUUGCUAAUGGCUUCAGGGAAGGAACCCUACUGGAGGCAAAAGUAGAUUUCCUUUUUUUCCCUUUUCCCACCCGUACAAGCUGUGAACCGUGAACUUUGUGACCUACUAGUAUGGUUUAUAGUAAAGUUGGCAGCUGGAAGUUAAUGGCAAUUUUAAUUGUGAAAGAUGCCAUUCUCUCCAAUUAGGAGAAAAAGGGAACUGUUGAGACAGUGAAGCAACAGACCUGGUGAAGAGGUCGUUCUUCUGUGUUAUCUAAUGAAUAAAUAUUGCUUUAGUCCAAUUAGAGAGGUUGGCCUGUUUAAGCUGCGAAGCUCAGUACUUCUAGAUAAAACCAAGAUCUGUUUCCUGAUGUGCCUUCUACGGCAAGACAGUAGGAAGAGAUGUUUGGUCAAUGCUCCGGCACUAUAUAAAUAUGAUUCUCCAUUAGUCCUGGCAUGUUUAACAAACAAAAGCUGAAAAGUUAUUGCAAAACUCCCCACAGAUGUUCAUAGGUGGUCUAUUAGCAAAAGUGAUAAUGUGCAAUUUCAUUUGGAUAGUCUGUUAAGAGCUUUUUAAUAGGCUAAGAACUAAUUCCCUAAGAGAUGCAGGGCCUGCCCCUUACUUACUAAGAACCUGAAAACUGCUGUUUGGCAAAAACAAUCAAGUCAAUGUGCUGAUUUACCUUCAUUUGAUGCUAUUUGUGCCACAACUGCACAUGCAUUAAGAAGACACUUGUGAUUGCUUUCACAAGUCACAUGUCCUAUUUGUUUCUUUUCUUCCUCCAGUCUGAUUUUGCCAGUGGCCUGUAAGGCUCCUAGGUCAUCAGAGGUCAACUUUGAAAUCAUAUAGCAAAAUAAAAUAACCACGUCAGACAUAGCUCUGGGUAUUUCAUCUCCAAAAACUGCUAAGAAUAAUUGUCUUAGCUGUUGGAAUAAUUGUGACAUAAUUGUUUCACCCAUUUUCCCUAUUCCUUUUAGCAGGAAAAAAAUACUUAGAUCUAAUUUAAAAGGACAAAAUAUUUUAGUUGAUUUGAAAUUGGCUGCUACUAUGUCUGAAUAUCACACUAAGGGUCACCUUGUUACACUGGUUCAUAUACUGCCAUAUCCAGUAUUCUCGGAGAAUCCGGAGAUCUCCCACAAAAGCCCUAAACAUAUUCAUUAUAUUGAUAAAAGAAAUCUAAUGUUGGAAUGAAAUGUAAGGUUUUAGCUCAGCAGGAGAGGAUUUAACAAGAAAAAUAUAUAGGACAUCAGUGCCAUGGGUACAAGCCUAAGACAAAAACAAAGAUUCCUCAUUUGCACAACAAUAAUCUCUAACAAUACCAUU